GUUCUGGAGGCAAGAGAAGUUGAGUACUUGUGGAGAAUCUCCUCGAGGGAGGACUCUCGCUAAUUCCAAGUCAGGAAGAGAAGAACAACCCCAGCAUUCUGGGCAUGAACAGAGAGCCAAGGUGAUCACAAUUUACAAUGCCCCUUUAUAAAAAGGAGUUAUUGGAAGAAGGUGAGAUCAUUUCGUGGAAAAUACAAGCCGGGGGUCCGUAGAAUGGAAAUUUGACAAGGUUGGGAAUCUGUGAUCACGAUGAACGAGAUGGAGCUUGUGGUUGGAUCGGAAGGUUUUCUGGCCUCAGGAACUUUGGCCAAGGCAGUUUCCUGGGUUGGUAAUGGUGCCUGUCUCCUCCAGGGCCACUCAACACAUCCAAUACUGUGACACAGGCCUUCCUAACCGUCUCUGGUGACAACAGGACAGGAACAUCACAGCUGUUUAUGUGCUAUGAUUUCCUAUGUGUGCACACAGGAAUAAGACUCUCUUGCCUUGCCCACAAACCACUCUUCACUCUUGGGAUGACCUUGCUCCAGCUGGGAUCAGAAGUUCUAGAGCAUUCUGGUGUUAUAAUUGGUAGCAAUUUGCCUGAGAUGUGCCAACUGAUCCAGAUGAAGAAAUCAGGCUACACACGUACAAUAGAAGGGAAUGUGCUUCAGCCUUGGAAGAGGCAGUCCUGACGUCUAUGAGUGAACAUGGAAGACAAAUGUGCCCCUCAGGGAAAGCGACACAUACAAGUUUGUCUAGAGAACUAGAAUAUUCUUUCUUGUGGAAAGAAAGGCCAUUUCCCACGAGAGCUGAUGACCAGGAUGCGAAAUGACAUCUGGUGACCGCGCAGCUGCGGAUUGUCGAAUCCAAAGCAAUAAAAGGAUCUAGAAAUGUGAGCCAGUACUCUUUAAAAUAAAAAUAAAAAUAAAACCA
rnacentral:lncRNA from 1 species